rnacentral:lncRNA from 1 species
CAGACUCACACUCUCCAAACCCUCCCAAACAGUUCCCCAAAAAGCUUCAAACAAAUUGCAAAGGAAUACACCAUAAUCAAACAUCAAAAGUUAGCCUAAGUAAAGAGGAAAGUCUCUAUGGUGUCGUGAUGUGAUUAAGGGUGGUUGUAAGAUAAGGGAAGCUUUGGUUCUCAUUUUUCCAGAUUCUUUAAGGUAUUUAUAACCCCUUAUUUCUUGGGAUUAAUAUUAUCUAUGUGUUGGUUAAGUUAUUGGAUGAAGAUUACAAGAUAACAGUUGAAAGGGAAAGAGUUGUUGUUAUCUUUUGUUGGGUUGUUUUAAGGCUAUAUAUAUAUAUAUAUAUAUAUAUAUAUAUAUAUGUUGUUAUGGCUGAAAUUUCAAAUUGUAUCUACUUCCUAAAGUAUGUAAAUCAUGUUCUUGGUUGUGCUUAAGGUUAAUCAUGUGUUGUUUGAGUUGUUUGAGUUGUUUGAGUUAAAAUCUUCAAGAUAGUAAUUGACAUGGCAUAAUGAAUUGUUAUCUUUUUGUGUGGGCUGUGUUUAGGCUAUAUAUAUGGUUGACUGUGGCUGAAAAUUGUUAUAAAUAGUUUGAUUAUGUUGUGGCUACUGUUGUUAAGCUUAUCUAUGUGCUAAUUCAGUGGAUUGAAGAAGAUAACAUGAAAAAUAAGAGGUUGACGAUAAAGGUCAAGGUGCUAGGCGUGUGGACUAUUUUUAAAGAUUAUUCUUAUGAUGUUUUGGGAUGAAAAUGAUAUGGUAAGCAUAAGUAUGAUGUGAUACAAGUCGUAGGCAGAUUCAUGGAAAAGGAAUUGGAUUAAAUUAUAUUUUUUGUUAAUUGUAAAUCGAGCUUGUCGCUCAAAAUGGUUGUUGAAGUAAUCAGAGAGCUUAUUAUGAAUUAUAUUGUUGUUGUUUGGGCUGUUUGGUGACUUUUAGUGACUUAUUGGAUGCAGUAAAAAUAGGGGAGAUGUUGUCCGUUUUCUUGUAGAAUAUUUGUUUUGAAAUAUGAGAGUUACAAUGCUUAUAUGAUGACGACGAAGUCGGGUUACUCAUUGUAGGCGUAAGAAGAUCAUAUUGAGCUUGGUUGACGAUUGGAGAGAAGAUUGCAAAGGUAUGUUAAUGUUAUCCCUUCUUUUCGUUUGGCAUGAUCCAUAUGAUGCAAUGAAACGAGCAAACACACAACUUUCACAAAUAAUUCUAUUCUUAGAAGUACUAAAGGUGCCUAUAUUCUUGAUUCCACAUGUGUCCUAUUAUUCUAUCGUCUGUUCAAGGGUCUUAGAAAAUACUUAAGUUGAUAAAAUUUAAUUCAUGAUAUUAACCGAAGGCAUAUUGAUCUUAUGAUAUUCCGAGAGAUCUUACUGACUUACUUCAUUAUGCAUUGCAUUCAUUUAUACAUGUACAAUGGCCCAUGAUCAGAUGGCGUUAUAUACACGUAUAUUAUAUGUAUAUGGGAUAUGGAAAAAGGUUAUGGCGUUAUAUACGCACCACCACCUGAUCAACUGGUAUACAUUGAUGAUUUCGCCCACAGUGGCUGAGAUGAUAUGAUGGAAUGCCCUCAGAGGCUUGAUGAUGUUAUGUACGCAUAUACCUAUGCACGGUAUGAUAUUUAUACAUACAUGCAUGACAUUAUAAAUUUUUCAUGAUUCAUAGAGCUAUUCAGAAUUACACGUUAAGUUCUUUACUCCAUGUUUCUUUCAUGUCUUUUAUAUACUAAUGUCAUGCCUUACAUACUUGGUACUUUAUUUGUACUAGCAUCCCUUUUGCCCGGGGAUGCUGUGUUUCAUGCCCGCAGGUCCCGAUAGACAGGUUGAGAGUUCUCCUAGUAGGCUACAGGCUCAGCGGAAGGUGUUUGUGCACUCUACUUGCUCUGGAGUUAACUAUUUGGCCAGUAUGAUUUAGACAUGUAUUGAUUAGUAUGUCG